UACGAAGGGGGCUAGCGUUGCUCGGAAUCACUGGGCGUAAAGGGUGCGUAGGCGGGUCUUUAAGUCAGGGGUGAAAUCCUGGAGCUCAACUCCAGAACUGCCUUUGAUACUGAAGAUCUUGAGUUCGGGAGAGGUGAGUGGAACUGCGAGUGUAGAGGUGAAAUUCGUAGAUAUUCGCAAGAACACCAGUGGCGAAGGCGGCUCACUGGCCCGAUACUGACGCUGAGGCACGAAAGCGUGGGGAGCAACAG
rnacentral:rRNA from 1 species